rnacentral:rRNA from 1 species
UAAUUGAAGAGUUUGAUCAUGGCUCAGAUUGAACGCUGGCGGCAGGCUUAACACAUGCAAGUCGAGCGGUAGCACAGGGGAGCUUGCUCCCUGGGUGACGAGCGGCGGACGGGUGAGUAAUGUCUGGGAAACUGCCUGAUGGAGGGGGAUAACUACUGGAAACGGUAGCUAAUACCGCAUAACGUCGCAAGACCAAAGAGGGGGACCUUCGGGCCUCUUGCCAUCAGAUGUGCCCAGAUGGGAUUAGCUAGUAGGUGGGGUAAUGGCUCACCUAGGCGACGAUCCCUAGCUGGUCUGAGAGGAUGACCAGCCACACUGGAACUGAGACACGGUCCAGACUCCUACGGGAGGCAGCAGUGGGGAAUAUUGCACAAUGGGCGCAAGCCUGAUGCAGCCAUGCCGCGUGUGUGAAGAAGGCCUUCGGGUUGUAAAGCACUUU